rnacentral:rRNA from 1 species
GAUGAACGUUGGCGGCAGGCCUAAUACAUGCAAGUCAUACGGCUAGUUUACUAGCAGUGGCGAACGGGUGAAGUAAUACAUGUCUAACAUGCCCAAGAGAGGGGGAUAACUGAGGGAAACUUUAGUCAAUACCCCAUAGUAUACAGAGAGGCAUCUCUUUGUGUUUAAAGGUGCGUUUGCACCACUCUUGGAUUGGGACAUGGCGUAUUAGCUAGUUGGUAAGGUAAAAGCUUACCAAGGCGAUGAUGCGUAUCCGGGUUGAGAGACUGAACGGACACACUGGAACUGAGACACGGUCCAG